GCACAUUUUAAACCCCAGAAAUGAGUUCAGUCCUGAUUGCAUAUUGUAUAUUGCUGUGGAUUACAUAUGCAGAAUCUCAGACAUUUAGUCUGACACCUUCAAAUAAUGCAGUUAAUCUGGGAGAGAGGGCAACUUUCUCCUGUAAUGUUGGAGCUAAGGAUGGUUACUGGGUACAUCUUUUAAAGCAGAUACCAGGGAAUGUUCCACAGCUGAUUAUAGCUCAUCACCAUUCAGUCACCUCUCCUGUAUAUGGACCAGGGAUAUCUACUGACCGUUAUACUGCCACCAUUAAUGCCGCAGCCACUGAGUAUAAUUUUAUUAUUAAGAAGGUAGAGACAGCAGACACUGCUCAUUAUUACUGUGUGAAAUGGGUUGGCAGCAUAUCAGCAUGCCACAGUGAUAAAGAGUUUGACAAGAACUGGCCACAAAAAACAUGUUAACAGAAUACGGAACUGUUUAAUGUCAGACUGCAC